rnacentral:rRNA from 1 species
UACAGAGGGUGCUAGCGUUGUUCGGAAUCAUUGGGCGUAAAGGGCGUGUAGGCGGUUUGUUAAGUCAUGUGUGAAAUCCCUCGGCUCAACCGAGGAACGUCGAUCGAUACUGCUGUUCUUGAGGAUUGCAGAGGAGACUGGAAUUCCCGGUGUAGCGGUGAAAUGUGUAGAGAUCGGGAGGAACACCGGUGGCGAAGGCGGGUCUCUGGGCAAUUCCUGACGCUGAGGCGCGAAAGCGUGGGGAGCAAACGGG